CUUUUUGUGGCUUUAUUUUACAACCACCAGGACCUCCACCCUGACUAAUAUACGUGUCAACAUUCAUUGCCUUUGAUGCUGCCUCAGGUGACCUCUCACACGUUGUGGGAUCAGGAGCUUUGAGGAGUGCAUGACUUCACUGCCUGCUGGAGGAACGAGGGGCAGGAGGUGAACCUGUGGCCAUGCUGUGUGGAUGGCUGAAGCUGUCCCAUGUUUUGUGAGGUGCUGCACUGAGCUGCUUCUGCCUUACACCAGCAUUACGACCAAAGCAGUAAAAUUCCUCAUUGUAGUGGUUCACUACGGGUUGGAAGGGAACCUGUUGGCAAAUGCAUUGGGCUGAAUGUUUCUUGUGACUGGAUUCUCAUCCUGCCAUGGAGCACGGUUGCCUAAUUACAGCAUGUCGUCAUUAGAGGUGUGUUAGAUGAACCUCUACAAGUGGAGUACAGGAAAGGCCAGGAAGACUUACUGCCUUUCUUAGUAGGGAUAUCUUACUUCCCACUUUUCUAUGAGUCAUUCCAAAGCAACAAAGGACAUCUUGUGGUCAGGGUCUACUACAGGCCAUGUGUUCAGGUGAGCCUGUAGAUGAGACCUUCUUGUUUUGGUUGGAGGAAUUGUCACAAUGGCACAUUCUCAUCUUGAUGGGGGAUUUCAAGCACCUAGAUGUUCUACGAGAAAGCAACACAGUGAGCUGCAAGCAAUCCUGGAGACUCCUGUGCUGAAGAUAGCCUGCUGGUGCAGGUAUUAGACAAACUGACCAGAGGAGUAAUGUUCCUGGACCUGUUCCCCACCAGCUCAGAGGAUCUCAUUAAAGAGGUUAAGAUUGGAGGCACUCUGGGCUGCAGCAACCAUGCUCAGGUGGAGUUUGUGAUCUUGAGGAUCACAAGGAUCCAGUUUGUUCAAGGAUUUGCUGCCUGUGAUCCCCUGUGAAGCUGUCCUGACAGACAAAGGAGUGUAGCAGAACUGGCAGCCCUUUAAGGAUGCCUUUCUGACAGCACGAGAGCAAACUGAGGGAUAAGAAGGACUUAUACAGGGAGUGGAAGCUGAGAUGUGUGGCCAAUGAUGUGGGAGAAUAAAGAAAUGCUGUCUGGGCAUGCAGAGAUGGGAAAGCAUGUUGGGUCUCCCUGCCCUCAUGGAAAUUCUCAAUGAAAACAAACAACUUGCAGAAAGAAAGGAAAAUCACGGUGGGGAAGAUAUGGGAAAAUAGAAGGAGACCGGGACAUCAGAUCUGAGUAUUGAUAGAGAACCCAGUGAUGACAUCGUGUGCUCCAGUGAUCCAGUCCAUGGUCAGUCCCAUCCAUCUUCCAAUACACCAAACGUAUUUGAAUGCUCUGGGAUGAUCUCACGCUGCCUCAAAGAGGAGACUUGAAGAAGUAGGAUCAGAAAAAGUUCAGAAAAGGGCAAAAAGGAGGAUUGGCUGUCUGAGAUGGAUUUGGAAUAUGCAGGCUAAGGCUUGUUGGCUUGAAAAUACAUGGUCUAAGUGAGUAUUCACUUGAGGUCUCCAGAUUUGUGACCGGAGGGAGGGUGUGGAAGGGGCUUGAGUAUCCACUGCCUCUUCCCAUCAGUACAGAAAGCAAGGGGCAGCAGAUGAAGCUGCUGAUGGUCAGGAUUAAAUCUAAAGAAAUCAUCCAUCACCCACAGAUAUCGUUGCUGAAGAGUUCUGAGCCUGGACAAGCACUUGGCAAAGAGAUCUGCUGUGAGUUACUCCAUAGAUGGCACCAGGCUCAGGAAAUCAUUUUGAGUGAAGAAGGUUGGAAUACUAAGGGGAUGACUGUCCUGUCAUUAUUCCUUAGCCAUCUGUUUGAAGACAGAACAGUGCUCUGGAUGUACCUGAAUGUGCUCUGAAUCAAACCUUUUUCAUGUUCUUAAAUAGACGUUCUCAUUACAGUGUGUCACUUCAAAGAAGCCAUUUGCUACAAAACUCCACGUCCAUUUCCUCUGAAACACUAUUCAUUUUCCAAUUAUUUCCUUGUUUAAUGCAGAGCAGAUGAAACUUACUUAGCUGUUGAUCUCACAAGGGCGUUUAUCCCCAGGGAUGAACCUGCAGCACUGCAUGGCCCUCCCAGCAUCACUGUCCUCCUAACCACAGAAGAAGGACAGGGUCCAUCUCUUCCAUGUGGUCACCACUGCGUGGAGAAUGAACCCAUUUUCUGAGUGUGUAUACAUUCCCUAUAAAGGAGAUGCAUACACAGGUUCAGCUGUAAAACCCUGUAGCCUGUUGACCCAGUGGAUGUCAAAAAAAAGUGUUGGAUCUGGCAAACUGCCUUGGUUUGUGAGCCCAGUAAUGGUGGAGGGGAGGGACAUGGGGCUGGGGACCAGGAGAGCAUCUCCUUGGGGUGACAGCCUGGGCUCUGUACAGUGGGAUGGGACCCACCAUUGCCUCCUGGGCCACUCUCCCUGGAGUGCCAGCAGGGCAUGGUUUGCCCAGGAAACUGAGUGUGCAUCCAAAGAGAGGCAUUUCUAAGUUACAGCACAACGAUCCUUAGAACAUCAGUGAUGAGUGAGCCAACUGAAAACAAACUGUCCAGAGGGAAGGUGUGUAUUUCUGCAAUGGCUUUUCCACUGCUGCUCAGAUCUAUUUCUGUGCAGCCUCAGCAUUUCUGGUGUACUGAAUGAAGUGUUGUAAAGUCCAGGGAAGUGCUUGGGCUGCCUGGGAGUGAUUUUCGUGUUCCUGCAGCUGUGCCGUAUGGGUCUGCAGUGCUGGUGCCUGGGAUUUGUUCAUGGCAGGAGUGCUGGAGGGCAAAUAGAGCAGAAGAGCUACAGGGAAACAUAAUGCAGGAGCAGAGUGGGUUUUUUUCCUACAAAUAUCUUUCAAGAUAUAUAUAACUGUCAAGAUGUAUGAAAUAAUAUGUAUAUAACUGCACGUAUAAGUGGGCAUUCAGCAGCUCUGGCUGCUGUGAGCCUGCUUCCAUGCAUGGAGGAGGGGGCAGAAGGCUGGAGAGUUUCUGGGAGGACGUGUGAAGUGAGGAAGAAAUGGGGGAGCACCACCUGGAGGACAUCACUGGGUGACACUGUGACCACAAGGCCUUUCUGCUCGCUGCCUUCAGCAGUCACACACACGUGUUUUUCCGUGGGGUUUCACCACAAACACGCCUUUCCCGCUCGCUCUGCAAUGCAGCAUCCCUGACCUCAACUGUUGUUUCUUUCAAGUUAAGAACAACAACAAAAAGAACACUUUUGGGGGCUCAUUUUCUCAGAUGUGAAAGCUGCUUUUCAUCAGUGGUCCUGUUUCUUUCUUACAUACGCUCUGGAAGAAGUCUAUGAGAGUGGGGUGAUUUUUCCACCAGUUCUUGCAUUUGUGAAACCCGCUCAGAUCUCUGAAGCUCACUGCCCAAAAAACCCCCCACUGAUGAGAUGAGGCAUUAUCAGAUUGUGUUCAUAGUUUCCUUUGGUGAAGUGCACAAAUCUGCGUUUCAGAAGGAGGUGCAGAGCCCUGGGCUGCUGCUGCCUGUCCUCUCCUGUGAUUGCACACAGCUGAG